rnacentral:rRNA from 1 species
UACAGAGGGUGCAAGCGUUGCUCGGAAUCAUUGGGCGUAAAGGGCAGGUAGGUGGUCUCAUUUGUCUGGGGUGAAAGCCUUGGGCUUGACCCAAGAAGUGCCUCGGAAACGGUGAGACUUGAGUACUGGAGAGGGUCGUGGAAUUCCCGGUGUAGCGGUGAAAUGCGUAGAGAUCGGGAGGAACACCAGCGGCGAAGGCGGCGACCUGGACAGUUACUGACACUCAACUGCGAAAGCGUGGGGAGCAAACAGG